CCUUGUGAAGGUUAUACUCAUAUGGAGCUCCCAAUAAAAAAAAAAGAGACUAAGUGUUAUUUUAGAGAGAGCAUUUACUAAAAAUUUAAAUAAAUUAGAAGCAAGGAUACUUUCUAUAGAGAUGAGACUUUUGCAUCACAUGGUGAUCAAAUUUUUUGUCCCUAGGAGUGGCAGGCAUGACCUCUUAUCUGGUAGGGAUAUAUGCAUCAUGUACCAUGUGAUCA
rnacentral:lncRNA from 1 species